rnacentral:ribozyme from 1 species
AGAAAGAGAGAGAGAGAGAAAGAGAAAGAGAAGAAACCGAAGAGAAAGAAAGCUUAAUAACAUCAUCAUCGCCAUAUUCUCUCUCUUUAUCUCCUCCCCUCUCUCACUCU